rnacentral:rRNA from 1 species
GCAAACGCAUUAAGUAUCCCGCCUGGGGAGUACGGCCGCAAGGUUGAAACUCAAAUGAAUUGACGGGGACCCGCACAAGCGGUGGAGCAUGUGGAUUAAUUCGAUACUAACCGAAGAACCUUACCCACUCUUGACAUUGAAGGAAAGCUCUAGAGAUAGGGCCCUCUCCCACAAGGAGACCUGAAAACAGAUGUUGCAUGGCUGUCGUCAGCUCGUGCCGUGAGGUGUACGGUUAAGUCCGCCAACGAGCGCAACCCUCGUUCUGUGUUACCAGCGAGUAAUGUCGGGCACUCACAGGAGACCGCCGGUGUAAGCCGGGGGAAGGUGGGGAUGAUGUCAAGUCAGCAUGGCUCUUACGAGUGGGGCUUCACACAUGCUACAAUGGGCGCAACAAAGGGCAGCGAUAUCGUGAGAUGGAGCAAAUCCCAAAAAUACGUCCUCAGUUCAGAUUGUAGUCUGCAACUCGACUACAUGAAGGCGGAAUCGCUAGUAAACGCAGGUCAGCUAUACUGCGUUGAAUACGUUCCCGGGUCUUGUACACACCGCCCGUCAAGUCACUUGAAUUGUCUUCACCCGAAGUCCGUGGCCCAACCCGCAAGGGAGGGAGCGGCCGAAGGUGAGGGGGGUAAGAGGGACUAAGUCGUAACAAGGUAACCAAGGG